GACCCAGAGAGGAGUUCCAAGCCACAUCCCCCACAGAGUUGAAGCCACCCCCUUCUCACCCUCUCAUCCCUGGCUCACGUGAAGCCACUGCUGCUAUAGAGCUCCUCUGCUGGUC